UCAGUAGGCACACAUCGCUGGCAUUCAAAAAACGGAAUAUGUGGUUAUAUUUCACAACUUUUGCAAAGUACCCUGACUUGGAAAGGCUGGCAAGCAAGCCACAGACAG